GAAUCCACUGCGUCCAGUGAACGUAAUGUAGUGGGGUGCUUGGGAAUGCAGCUCAGGGCCGCACUCCUCCCCCCAACCACUCCUUUAAUUAGGGCAGAGUAUAAAGUGCACCUGCUGCAAUUGUUCUUUCCUUUGGCUCUGCCUUCAUGGUCGGUGGUGCAGUUUGUCCAGUGACUCUUUCUUCCUGUGUUAUUACUUUUCCGUUAGUAAAGCUGAAUGCCGGUCAUUGGGGGGGCUAGUCACCCUCACUAUUUGUUGUGGUGAAGAUCACCGGGGACCACGAGUGAGGACCUGUUUGCUGUGUGUGGUUUGCUGUGGCUGCACCUGGAUGGUAGCAGUAUGAGAGGGAGGCUUGGCGGAGACUGACCUCAUUACGCCCACAGUGAACAUGUGUGGAUGACAUGCUGUAUGGAAGAUGUUGCAGGGUUUUUUCUCAUCACCUACCCCUACAAAUUAUCUUACACUUUCAUCAGGCCUUGCGUCAAAUAUGGCCUUGUUGAUCCUGAAGCUUCAGUCCCAUGGUGUUUUUCCAAAUUAUAUGUUUUUUCAACCUAUCCUCUCGUGAGAAUUUUAGUUCUGCUGACAGCUACACUCAUAUUUGUGCUAAAAUGUAUAUUGUAAAUUACGUUUUCAUGCAUAUUUUCUGUGUAUCAUUUCAAAAUGUUACACUCACAAUCCAUUGCCUUUGUGGGCUCUACAUCAUUGGGCCCUCCCACUGAUUCAGGACAGGCUUUGAAUUGAAAAGAAUGUCUGAGUGACACUGACUCAGCUGAACAAUGUUGUUAUACUGAGAUAAUUGAAAGUCAUCUGCUUCCAAAUUCAAUAGACUAUAUACAUUAAAGGGCUGCAUUACAUUCUGAUUCAGCUAUAUUUAAGUAUGUCAUUUCAAUCAUUUGUAUUUUCCUAGCCUUCUAUAAGAGAGAAAUUAUUUUUGUACAAAUAAAGUAUUUUCAAUAUAUUUUGAGUUUUAGAUCAUUACCAAUAAUGUGGUAUUACUGUGUUUGAGUAUGGACUGACAAUCAGCCAUGUUUUUAUUUUUAAUUUCUUUGUU